GACAGAGGUGCCAAGCGUUAGGCGGAAUCACUGGGCUUAAAGCGUGUGUAGGCGGAUGCCUAAGUACCUUGUGAAAUCCCACGGCUCAACCGUGGAACUGCCGGGCAUACUGGCGAUCUUGAGGCAUUCAGGGGCGAGCGGAACAAAUGGUGGAGCGGUGAAAUGCGUAGAUAUCAUUUGGAACGCCAAUGGUGAAAACAGCUCGCUGGGAAUGAUCUGACACUGAGACGCGAAAGCCAGGGGAGCGAACGGG
rnacentral:rRNA from 1 species